rnacentral:rRNA from 1 species
UACGAAGGACCCAAGCGUUAUCCGGAUUUAUUGGGUUUAAAGGGUGCGUAGGCGGAUUAUUAAGUCAGUGGUGAAAGCCUUCAGCUUAACUGAAGAACUGCCAUUGAUACUGAUGAUCUUGAGUAUGAUUGAGGUGGGCGGAAUGUGCCAUGUAGCGGUGAAAUGCUUAGAUAUGACACAGAACACCGAUUGCGAAGGCAGCUCACUAAGCCAUAACUGACGCUGAUGCACGAAAGCGUGGGGAGCAAACAGG